GACGAACGCUGGCGGCGUGCUUAACACAUGCAAGUCGAACGGAAAGGCCCUGCUUUUGUGGGGUGCUCGAGUGGCGAACGGGUGAGUAACACGUGAGUAACCUGCCCUUGACUUUGGGAUAACUUCAGGAAACUGGGGCUAAUACCGGAUAGGAGCUCCUGCUGCAUGGUGGGGGUUGGAAAGUUUCGGCGGUUGGGGUUGGACUCGCGGCUUAUCAGCUUGUUGGUGGGGUAGUGGCUUACCAAGGCCUUGACGGGUAGCCGGCCUGAGAGGGUGACCGGCCACAGUGGGACUGAGAUGCGGCCCAGACUCCUACGGGGGGCAGCAGUGGGGAAUAGUGCACGAUGGGCGGAAGCCUUAUGCAGCAACGCCGCGUGCUGGAUGACGGCCGUCGGGUUGGAAACCGUUUGCGCCUGUGACGAAGCGUGAGUGACGGUAAUGGGUAAAGAAGCACCGGCUAACUACGUG
rnacentral:rRNA from 1 species